CAGCGAUUAGCUUUGAUAACAAGAGAUAGCUACCUUCCAAAUAUCAUUCGUGCGUACUUCACACUACUCUUCUAGUCAUACCUGUAGCCAACGCUCUUACAACAGAAUUGUCAACCAGGUGCGAUUGGUAGGCAUAUGAGUCUCAUAGGAAGCUCUAUACUGAUUUGCUAGGUCAAUCCCAUUCAUAUUAUAAUUAUAGUCAUCAAUAAUAGUAGGAAUUUCCACUGCUUUUUGCCAAUUAUCUCUAAAUAUUUUUUGAAUUUGAGAUCCAUUAGUAGAGGUUUUUCCUGGGCACUUUCUAACACAUUCAACAAAGUUGUCUGGCAGAUGAAUUGUAGAUAGUAGUAAUACUAUAUUAUUAUCUUUCCAUUCAAGACAGAGAACUUCAUUUUGAGAGAUGAUAUACAGAGUGUUGAAGGGAAUAUGAGCAGAUAAUUCAGAGUUCUUCAGUUCUUGUAGAAGAGGUGGUAGAUUGGCAGAACAGGUGGUUCCACAGGCUUCAAUUCCUUGCUUUCAAAGAUAAUGGAAUAGAGCAAUAGAGGUGAAGUAGUUGUCCAUAUAAAUUGAGUAGCCAGCUAUCUCUUUACUGUUAUUCAACUUCAUAUGCUGCUCAGUGCUCUGCUGCUCAGUGCUCUGCUGCUCAGUGCUCUGCUGCUCAGUGCUCUGCUGCUCAGUGCUCUGCUGCUCAGUGCUCUGCUGCUCAGUGCUCUGCUGCUUGAUGCUCUGCUGCUCAGUGCUCUACUGCUUGAUGCUCUGCUGCUGUUAUGAACCUGCGGCGUAACCUAAGUGAAUCAUUGGUUAAGAAAGGGUUGUCGGGAGGAACCAGGAAACAACCCUGGAACAGAAACAACCUAGGAUCCAGGUCAUGUGAUAAGAGGAUCACUUGGAUAGAUAGAAUAGACAGAGUGAGUGAGGUGAGCAUGGUUAACAUCUCUCAGGAUCACUAUAAGGAAAGGAUCUAUUGUAGCUAUUCAGACAUACCUCAAGAUGUAUUUAAACAUACUCAUUACCCU
rnacentral:sRNA from 1 species